AUGAUCUAUCAAUUAUACUUGAUUCUGGCCUAUUUAAUUUUUAUCAAUUAUACAAUUGGGUUUUUUAAAACUUGCUUGGAGAUUAUCAAAGAGGAUUUGUCUGACUUUGUGAACAAAUUCUUCUUUAAUGCUCAUUUUCCAAAGGCCAUGACGACUUCUUUUUUUGGCCUUGUUUGUGAAGAAGCACGAUCCCUAGGUCAAGGGAGUUACAGCUUUUUAAAACCUCUAAAACUAUUUAGUUCGACUUACUUCAAUUCUCUGAUGACAUGGUCAUUGUUGGAGAGGCUUUGUGGAAUAAUCUAUAGUUCAUCAAGGCGGUAUUGCAUGGUUUCGAGAUGGUUUUUGGCUUGUGCGUGA